UACGUAGGUGGCAAGCGUUGUCCGGAUUUAUUGGGUUUAAAGGGUGCGUAGGCGGUUCCAUAAGUCAGUGGUGAAAUACGGCAGCUCAACUGUCGAGGUGCCAUUGAUACUGCGGAACUUGAGUACUGAUGAGGUAGGCGGAAUUGACGGUGUGGCGGUGAAAUGCUUAGAUAUCGUCAAGAACACCGAUAGCGAAGGCAGCUUACCAAGCAGUAACUGACGCUGAGGCACGAAAGUGCGGGGAUCAAACAGG
rnacentral:rRNA from 1 species